rnacentral:rRNA from 1 species
GUGGGGAAUCUUCCGCAAUGGACGAAAGUCUGACGGAGCGACGCCGCGUGAGUGAAGAAGGCCUUCGGGUCGUAAAGCUCUGUCAUCAGGGACGAACGGCCGGUGGAGUGGAAAGCCACCGGAUUGACGGUACCUGAGAAGGAAGCCACGGCUAACUACGUGCCAGCAGCCGCGGUAAUACGUAGGUGGCAAGCGUUGUCCGGAAUUAUUGGGCGUAAAGCGCGCGCAGGUGGGAUCUUAAGUCCAUUUUUAAAGUUCGGGGCUCAACUCCGUGAUGGGAUGGAAACUGGGAUUCUUGAGUACCGGAGAGGAAAGCGGAAUUCCCCGUGUAGCGGUGAAAUGCGUAGAUAUGGGGAGGAACACCAGUGGCGAAGGCGGCUUUCUGGACGGUGUCUGACACUGAGGCGCGAAAGCCAGGGGAGCGAACGGGAUUAGAAACCCGAGUAGUCC